UAUGUACGUUAUGUCAAAGUUACAUGUAUUGUGACGUCGUCAGCGAAAAUCAGUCUUGUGUACGCUGACGUUUAUGUCGGGAAAUCGCGAGAUAAAAAUCUUGUACGAAAAUGCGCUGGAUAUUUCGUCUUUUUCAUACAAUUUCUCGGCUCAUAAUUUAUGACAUGCUUUGAAAAUUUCCACAAUAUAGCAUGAAAAUGUCCUUUAAACACUGGCACAAUUGGUGGUUUGUAAUCCGCUUAUUUAAUUCAAAUUAUUCCCCUUGAAAGACACUGUUUCGUUUGAGCAGUUCACAGGUAGCGCAACCUGUCUCGUAGUGUUCAUUUUCAAUGGCUAUUAAACGCUGUAAAUCAAAAUGUCAUCUUGUACUAAUGGAUGUCUUCAAUCGAAGAAGGUUCGGAUAUGAUAUUUCCACAUGCUUAAAGUAGGUAAGUGAAAGAUAUAUGUGUAUUUUGGCUUUGUGAUUAAUUUUCGCGACUCGCAAGCUUGACCCGGAAGUAAACUGUACGAUAGCAACUGAAUUGUUUACAUGAAAUGGUGGAAUGAUUUAAAUUUGACUUUAAAAUAUCAUGUCUCAAUUUAUUAACACCAACACUAUUCCAUGUGAAAUUUCACAAGACCAGGAUACUUCGUUUUUAAAUUUAAAUGAUUUGGGCAAAUGGCUUUACUUUCAGGGCAAGUAGAUUUUCUAAGUACUUGCCCAGCAGGGCAAGUUGGUUUUUCGGUUAAUGUUGAGCCCUGAUCUGGUAUUUGAAUUAAUUUAAUAUCAUUGCUAUCAACACUGAAUCAGUCUAAAUGUAAUCAACUACCAAUUGAUAAUUUACUUUUUAUUGUUGUGUGUGUGUGUGCGUGUUUGUGUGCGUGUGUGGUCUGGAGGACAUCAUUCUCGUCUAAUAUCAAUCUUUUAUGAUAAGACAAUAACCAUGCAUUAUCUAAAUGUUUCAAACCACCUAUUAAUUAAUUCGAAAAAAACAAACUAUUUGGGUAUCUCUAGUAAGUUAUUACGGUUUAUUUAUUAUCUUCUGUUUCACAGGAAAGCAGGUGUUUUACCUCGCAGACGAAGGCCAGUCACAUGGUAAAGGUGCAAAUGCUGUGUUCAGCCAGUUUCACCACUACCUCAACACAUACGGUCUUGGCAAACAGCAUGCUCACUUUCAGUGUGACAACUGUUGCGGCCAAAAUAAAAACAACAUAGUCAUCUGGUACCUUCUGUGGAGAGUUCUUGUAGGUUUACACAAAAUCAUCACACUAAGCUUUAUGUUGAUAAGACAUACAAAGUUUACACCAGAUUGGCACUUUGGCAUCUGGAAGUCAAAGUGGAGAAACUUCAAUGCAGAAAUGUUGUCUGAUGUCGCUGCGUCUGUGGGGUUAUCGUCAAGUACGGGCCACAACAUCCCCCAGCUUGUAGGGGACUCUUCCAAUCCUGUUGUUAUCUAAGACAGGAAGGAUUACCUUACGACAUUGUUUCACCACAUAAAGAAUGUCACCAAAUUUCAUCAAUUUCCAUGUGUCAGCGGAGCAUCCCGGUGUUGUGGAAUGCAGGAAAUUUAGUGACUCACCAGUAGUCAGAAUCACUCUCAGGAAGGUCUCAAAAGUGAAUGGUAAUGUGAGCUGUGACAACCUGCCAUAAAAAAUGUUUGCGAAAGGGCUUGAUCUGGACCAUCAGUGGUAUUUAUUUGAAAACAUUCGUGAAUUCUGUCACAUAGAUGAACCAAAAACUUGACAUGUCCGAAACGCACUACUGGUGAGCAACAAAAAACAGACUGUGCCCCCCAAAAAAGAAGAUGCAUUAAGAUGCGCAUCUGAUCUUCUCUGAUGGUGCCACAACAAUUUCAUACAUCAUGUAUCAGUAUUUAUUUUUGCCAAGGUAUUGGGUGAUAAAUUUUCCACCAAACAAUGCAAAAAAUCCUCUAUUCCUAGGAAAGCUAAAACAUGUAUACGUUUGCUAAAUGAGUCAAUUGAUACAGGUUUUGAAAUGUUCAAUGCAUCUACAUGUACAUUGUACAUCGCUGCAAUCACGCAUGAUUAUUAUGCGACGGGUGGUGAAAGAAUAAGAAUAAAGAAUGAGGGACAUUAAAGUAAGAAGAGCUUGAUAGUUAAAAGACAGAAGGAAAGUAAAGCAGAACACCAGCUACGUUUCGCCCUUCUCCCUCAUGCCUCUCAUGCAAACGUUUGUUGAUCUAAUUGCACAAGCUUGUUUUCAAGUUUUUUAUAUCUCAUAUUUACAAAACAAAAAUCAUUUUUUCCAUGUAACCAUGCAAUUGUUUUCACCUUAUGGACACAGACUGCCUUUCCGAAAAUCUGGGAAAAAAUCAGUGUGAAUAUUGUAUUUAUUUAUGUUUUACAAUGAAAAUCCUAUAUUUUUAUUUGUUUGCUACAUUGUUUCCAUAGUAACAAAAACAAACAAUUUUUAGCUCAUCUAUUUUUUGAAAAAAAAUUAUGAGCUAUUGUCAUCACCUUGGCGUCGGCGUCGGCGUCGGCGUCGGCGUUGGCGUUGGCGUCGGCGUCCGGUUAAGUUUUGCGUUUAGGUCCACUUUUCUCAGAAAGUGUCAAUGCUAUUGCAUUCAAACUUGGUACACUUACUUACUAUCAUGAGGGGACUGGGCAGGCAAAGUUAGAUAACUCUGGCGUGCAUUUUGACACAAUUAUGUGCCCUUUUUAUACUUAAAAAAUUGAAAAUUUUGGUUAAGUUUUGCGUUUAGUUCCACUUUUCUCAGUGAGUAUCAAUGCUAUUGCAUUCAAACUUGGUACACUUACUUACUAUCAUGAGGGGACUGGGCAGGCAAAGUUAGAUAACUCUGGCAUGCAUUUUGACAGAAUUAUGUGCCCUUUUUAUACUUAGAAAAUUGACAAUUUUGGUUAAGUUUUGUGUUUAGGUCCAUUUUAUUCCUUAAGCAUCAAAGCUAUUGCUUUCAUUCUUGCAACACUUACUAACUAUCAUAAGGGGACUGUGCAGGCAAAGUAAUGUAACUCUGACUGGCAUUUUGACAGAAUUAUGUGCCCUUUUUAUACUUAGAAAAUUGAAAAUUUGAUUAAGUUUUGUGUUUAGGUCCACUUUAUUCCUACAGUAUCAAAGCUAUUGCUUUCAUACUUGCAAGAUUUAUGAACUAUCAUAAGGGGACGGUGCAGGCAAAGUUAUGUAGCUCUGACUGGCAUUUGGACGGAAUUAUGGGCCCUUUAUACUUAGAAAAUUUAAAAUUUGGUUAAGAUUUAUGUUUUGGUCCACUUUACCCCUAAAGUAUCAUAGAUAUUGCUUUCAUACUUGGAACACUCACAAACUAUCAUAAGGGUACAGUAAAAGGACAAGUUGCAUAACUCUGGUUGUCAUUGUUAUGGAAUUAUGGCCCUUUUUUGACUUAGUAACUUUUAAUAUAUGGUUAAAUUUUGUGUUUCGAUCCACUCGAAGUAUCAAGGCUAUUGCUUUCAAACUUCAAAUACUUACAUGCUAUCAUGAGGUUACUGUACCUGGCAACUUGAAUUUUACUUUGACCUUUGAAUGACCUUGACUCUCAAGGUCAAAUUAUUAAAUUUUGCUAAAAUUGCCAUAACUUCUUUAUUUAUGAUUAGAUUUGAUUGAUACUUUGAUGAAACUACUCUUACCUGACAUACCACAAUAGACUUCACCCAAACCAUCCCCCGUGCCCUCCCCCCCUCCCC